GGGGUGCGGCGGGACCGUCGCUCGGAGCGCUGCGCGGAGCUUGAGGCGCUGAGGCGGGGCCGGCCCUGGGAUCCGGGCCCCGAGAUCUGGGUCCGGGUUCUGCCGGUGUCUGCUGGGGGACCCGGGCGGAGCCUCUUCUCCCUCGGCGGGCGGGGUGCGGGAUUUGGGCUGGGGUGAGGACCGGGAUCGCCGCGGACGCGAGGAGCCCCUCCGGGCCCGGCGCUGGGAUCGAGUCCGAACUGCGCCCCGUGUGGCACAGGGGUACCGCCGGAGCUCGGUCCUGCUCCAGCCGUUCAUCCAACACCUGCCCGUGAGAAGAACAUGAACUCACAGCCAUCAAGACCUGACAGUUCCCUGCAGUGAGAGCUCAGCACAUGUCUACAGAAGCAAGUCCGGCGUCUGGAAGAAAGAAGAAAAAGUUUGCUGGAGCCAUGAAACAGCCAAUACCUGCAGGGUGUUAUUCCCUGACAGCACAUUUGGAGAGAAACAAACCGCAGGAUACUCUUGUCCAAGCAGGCAGUUACUUUCCUUCCUCUGAGAGAGUUUUGAGGUGCUUCUUGGAGUAAUUUUGCUAAUCCUGGCUGCAGGCCAACAAGGUUUCCCUGCAGUGUAAUGGAGUUCUCUGUGCCUGAGCUGGUUCUGUCACACUGACCCCCUCAGAGUGGCAGCACACAGUGUGCUGAUGGGGCUUUUUUGAUAUCAGCACUAAAUUCCUGUGGGGCAUCUGCUGUGACUACAGGGAGAGACAGAUCUGCUUGAGCAACCACAGGUACCAAUCCACCUUGCAGAGUCUUGCAUGAGGGUGAGUUCAGUACAGAGGAACUGUUUGAGGCUCUCCAUCCUCAGGCUUUCCACCCUCACCAGAUGUGGGAGGCACUUUCUAUUUUUUUUCUGAUACCAAUAGAGAAAAAGCAUCACAAUGGCCUUACAGAACUACCUGGUCUCUUCAGUGCCACUGAAUUUCAGGAGCUUGCAAAAUACCUUCUCUGUGAUAGGCCCUUUCCUUGAUACACCUUCUACCCCAUUGCAAGCACAAGUUUUGGGUUCCCCUCUCCUCCACAGACUGGGCCAUCCAGCUGUCUAAGUAAUCAGUUCCAAAGCUUUGCCCCCAGCCUCCACUCUGCACCAUCUUCUGUGCCUUACAUCAGCAGCUUCCUGGUCUCCCCCAGCAGCUCAGAAGCCCCAUUUCUUACUGGUCUCUGGGGAAGUUGUUUGGUGUCACUGCCAGUCCUGGCCCUGCUGCUCAGGGCAGCCACAGAGGGGCACUGGGACAGUCCCCAGCACUGGGACAGGGAUCUCUGCAGGAGUGUGUGCCAAGUGCUGGCCCCACAGUGGACACUUAGCAUGGCAACCUAGAGGUGUGCCCUGACCCUGCAGCUCCUGGCUUAUCCACAGGAGUCAGGCACUAGUUACUCUAGCAAGGAUUAAAAAAAAAAAAACAAAAAAACAAAAAAACAAACCACAAAACAACAACAACAAACCCAAAAAACAAACAAACAAACAAACAAAAAACCACAAAAGGAAAAAAAUAGAGUGGUACAGUCUUGCCAUUUAACUGGGAUUUCUAACAUCAGAAAACCAAGGUGCUGCCACUGCAGCAUGCUGAGACCCCAGAAUGCAUCUCUGGGAGUCACAGGCAAGAAACACCACAGGGGGGCUGUCCCUGUGUCUUUGCUGACCUGUCUCAGCAAGUGGUACCUCUCUGUCCCAAGCUGGGAUGUCAAAAAGCUGCUGCUGUUCAAAGCCACGUUGUGCAGGCAGCCAGAGGGGAAUGAGCCUAUAGCAGUGCUCAAAACUCAGAGUACCUCUGUCCUAAGGGCACACUUUGCAGUUCACUCUGUGGCAGAUUCCUGCUGCAGACUGCGAUUGCCAGAUGAGUUCUGAACAAGAUGGAAUAAAAGCAUCUCUGUCUGUGAACUGGAAGGAGGUCAGCAGGUCCUGCAAUCACAGAGCAGCCUCCAGGUUGUGGAAGACAGGUCAUAUAGAGAAUGGAGAAUAUGAAGGAAGGGAUGAGCUGGUCCAUCUCCAGCAAGGAAAAGGCAGUACUUAUAGUUCACUGGCUGCUCUGCACAUUGAGCGAAUAGAAAAAAGCCCAAAGUAAAUCCAAACAACCAAACCACAAAAAACUCCCAAACCAGACAACUUAUCUUCAAGGGUGGCUGUGGAUUAGGCACUGAGUGUUCUCUAAUUUGGUGAGCAAUGCAGGCUCUUACUCAGACCCAGUAGCAGACCAGCACUGUGACCAUCACUGGCUCCCCUGGCCUGAUACUGUUUAUGUCCUAAACUCUCAGCAGAGUUUCAUCCUGACAAAAUCAAUCCAAGGCCCACAGAUUCCUUCCCAGGUACCACUAUCUGUGGUAUGUAUGCUGUGCUGUCAUUUCCUUUGCCAUGAGAAUGAACACCAGCUUGUUCAAGAAAUUUUGGAAAUACCCCCCAUUUCCCAUUCUCCCCCUAAUGGUGAUUGUCCAGGCCCAGGGGAGAAGCAAACUGGUCUAAAGCCAACAGAAUAAACCCUCAAAAGUGAUGAAUUUUUCUAGGGAAUAGAGAUGGGUCUCUCAUUCUUCAGCAAGUUUGUGAUUUGAGUCACGUGCAGAAAGAGGGAAGGCAGGGAGAGAACAGCUGCAGUGGUGGGAAAGUGGCCCACAAGAGCUACUUUGCCAUUUGUACCUCAGUGUGGGCAAUAUCACAUCUUGCUGGUGGUUUCCAGGAAUGGCCAGAACACAUAUUUGUAUUCCCAGAGCACAGGGAACACUUUAAGAAUUGCUUCCAUGCCAGCUGGUCUGACAAAUAGAUAUAUGGAAGAACAUAAAUAAACAACUGGGAAGUGCAGUCUGCCCUACAUUAGGAGCCCUCUAAUCAUGUGUGAAUGAGAGCAAUUCGCUGCCACGCGUGAUGGGGGGUGGUGGAGGCGGGGGGUAGUGCUGGUUUGCAAAUCAAAAGCCAAGGGCUCUGAAUUCACACCAACCCACUAACCCAGAAUACAGUUCCAAUUUUAUACAAAGAGGAGAUGGUUUCAUGAUGAGGACAAUUAGGAGCAGUUUGCCCACAGCAGCUGUGCCCAUUCUCUCCUGGGAGGUUGUCAGCAACACUCAGCAACCUGUCCCAAGUUCAGUGUUGAGCCAGAGACUGGACUGAAGACAUUUGGAGGCCUUUCCUCCCUGACUGAUCCUCUGCUAAUCCCCCAUUUUUUUGGGCACAAGGACUGUUCCAUGAGCUGAUGAAGCAGAGGAAAAGUAACCUGCUCCUACUCUCACCUAUCCACCUGCCACAGCAAGGCUUGGGCUCCUGCAGCUGGUCAGACAGCCCUGCCAGGGCAUAUCAAUACAAGGGAUUAUCUCCUAAAUAAAUAUUUGGGAUUAUCUCCUGAGAA